rnacentral:lncRNA from 1 species
GGCUAGAAGCAUAUAAACAGAAGAGUGGUGAGUAACUCGAUUGGUGCCAUUCCUUUUCUUGCUUUCUGCUGUCUGGAGCAGCAGUGUGAUGGCUGGAAUGGGCUGGACCAAAAGGAAGAUGCCAUGAGUUAAAUAGAGCAGAGCAACACAGAAGGACUCUGGGUCCCUUAUCAUGAGGAUCUGCCAUUUCCACACUGGACUGUAUAAUCAUGUAAAUGAAAUGAAAUUCCAUCUUGUUUAAGUCACUGUUAUUUUGCAAUUUCUACUAUUAUUGAAACUGAAUUCUAUUUUAAAAGAUGAUGGAAAAGUUUUGUGAUUGUUGGUCUUGAAGCCAGGAAGGCUAAGUGAAUUGAAUAAUGGAUGAAAGAGGCUAUAUAAUUAGCCAGGCACAGUGGUGCACACCUAUACCAGUGACUCAGGAGGCUGAGGCAGUUUAAGGCCUCACCAGUUUAAGGCCCUAAGAAACUUAGUGAGACCCUGUCUCAAAACAAAACAAUUAAUAAAGAAAUAGGACUAGGGAUAUAGCUUAGUAGUAAAGUGCCCCUGGGUUCAAUUCCCAGUACAAUAAUAACAACAACAAAAGAAAUAAGGUGUGAUGGGGUAUAAUUAAAU